AAAGAGGGAAGGAGAACCAAACCUAACUAAGACAAAAAUCUGCAAAAUUAUCAAAUCGAAGGAUGAAAUUGAUGCCAGUCUUAUGCAUGUGCCCGAAUAAGUGAUCAUCUAUGCUUGUCUAACGAGUAGAUAGGAAUCACAUUAGCAUGGACUCAAGCAUGAAAGGCUAACGGGUCAAGAGGAGACAAGGAAGUGGAUACGGACACGGAUGCACAAGGUGGUACAGAAUCAGGGAUCAACAUGAUGGAAGGCUAGUGAUUGAAGAUCGAGUGAUAGAGACAUGGAUUGUACAGAAUGGGUGGUCAUGUAAUCUGUAUUAGUAUGUUAUUAUCGAUACGUUAAUGAGGGAUAAACAAUGUAGUUCCUUACAUAAAGAUGUUUUAAAUGAUUUUCAAGUAAAAA